rnacentral:antisense_RNA from 1 species
AACUAUGCCAUCUUGGAAAAGGCACGACAUUGCUCACAUUGCUUCCAGUAUUUUUAUAGCCGGCUCGGGUGCCGGCUACUUUUU